rnacentral:rRNA from 1 species
UACGUAGGGUGCGAGCGUUAAUCGGAAUUACUGGGCGUAAAGCGCGCGCAGGCGGCUGUGCAAGUCAGAUGUGAAAUCCCCGGGCUUAACCUGGGAACUGCAUUUGUGACUGCAUGGCUAGAGUGUGGCAGAGGGGGGUAGAAUUCCACGUGUAGCAGUGAAAUGCGUAGAUAUGUGGAGGAAUACCGAUGGCGAAGGCAGCCCGCUGGGAUAACACUGACGCUCAUGCACGAAAGCGUGGGGAGCAAACAGG